rnacentral:ncRNA from 1 species
UCAUUGGGGAGCUAGUGAACUGGCUGAGAGGAAGUAAAAACUUCGACCCGUUAACCUGAUUUGGAUAAUGCCAACGUAGGGAAGAGUCAAA